rnacentral:rRNA from 1 species
AGUUUGAUCAUGGCUCAGAUUGAACGCUGGCGGCAGGCCUAACACAUGCAAGUCGAGCGGUAACAGAGAUAGCUUGCUAUCUGCUGACGAGCGGCGGACGGGUGAGUAAUGCUUGGGAAUAUGCCUUUUGGUGGGGGACAACAGUUGGAAACGACUGCUAAUACCGCAUAACGUCUACGGACCAAAGUGGGGGACCUUCGGGCCUCACGCCAAGAGAUUAGCCCAAGUGGGAUUAGCUAGUUGGUAAGGUAAUGGCUUACCAAGGCAACGAUCCCUAGCUGGUUUGAGAGGAUGAUCAGCCACACUGGAACUGAGACACGGUCCAGACUCCUACGGGAGGCAGCAGUGGGGAAUAUUGCACAAUGGGCGCAAGCCUGAUGCAGCCAUGCCGCGUGUGUGAAGAAGGCCUUCGGGUUGUAAAGCACUUUCAGUCAGGAGGAAAGGUUAGUAGUUAAUAGCUGCUAGCUGUGACGUUACUGACAGAAGAAGCACCGGCUAACUCCGUGCC